GUAGAUAUGGCUCGAGGCAGAGGUCGAGGUAGCGGAGGUCGUGUAGGAAAGUCCUCAUUAAGGUGUGAUUCUACUGGUCGUGCAAACAUGCCUACCAUUCCCAUUCCCACCACAGUUAGUCCUCAACAAGGUGGUACGAGUUCCAUAGGUGGGCCAGAUCCUAUAAACCAAGUUCAAACUUUACGUACGCCACCGGUUCAAGCCUCAGAUAUCGCUCGAGGAAAAGGUCGAGGUAGUCCUCAACAAGGUGGUACGAGUUCCAUAGGUGGGCCAGAUUCUAUAACCAUGUUCAAACUUUAGGUACGCCACCGGUUCAAGCGUCGUAUCACGGUAGUAACCCAA